rnacentral:rRNA from 1 species
AAUGGCUGCAGUAAUUUGACUGUACAAAGGUAGCAUAAUCAUUAGUUUUUUAAUUAAAAGCUUGUAUGAAAGGUUGGACGAAAUAAAAUCUGUCUCUUUUUAAAAAAAAUUAGAAUUUUAUUUUUAAGUUAAAAAGCUUAAAUUUUUAUAAAAGACGAGAAGACCCUAUAGAGUUUUAUAAUUUUAAUUUAGUAAUUAAUUUAGAUUUAUUUAUUUUAUUUUAUUUAAAAUUAUUUUAUUGGGGUAAUAAAAAGAUUAAAAAAAUUCUUUUUUAUAUAAAUCAUUAAUAUAUGAAAAUUUAUGAUCCAUUAAGUUUUGAUUAUAAGAUUAAAUUACCUUAGGGAUAACAGCGUAAUUUUUUUUUAGAGUUCUUAUCGAUAAAAAAGUUUGCGACCUCGAUGUUGGAUUAAAGAUUAAUUUAGGUGCAGAAGUUUAAAUUUUUGGUCUGUUCGACCAUUGAAUCUUUACAUGAUCUGAGUUCAAACCGGUGUAAGCCA